rnacentral:tRNA from 1 species
GCCCGGGUGGCGGAACUGGGAGACGCGCUACAUUCAGGGUGUAGUGGGCUUUAAGCCCGUGCGGGUUCGAAUCCCGCCCCGGGCACAA